GACGAACGCUGGCGGCGUGCUAAACACAUGCAAGUCGAACGAUGAAACCUAGCUUGCUAGGUCGAUUAGUGGCGAACGGGUGAGUAACACGUGACUAACCUGCCCCUUUCUCUGGGAUAACGCUCCGAAAGGAGUGCUAAUACCGGAUACUCACACCAAGGCACAUGCCAUGGUGUGGAAAGUUUUUCGGAAAGGGAUGGAGUCGCGGCCUAUCAGCUUUUUGGUGAGGUAACGGCUAACCAAGGGGACGACGGGUAGCCGGCCUGAGAGGGCGACCGGCCACACUGGGACUGAGACACGGCCCAGACUCCUACGGGAGGCAGCAGUGGGGAAUAUUGCACAAUGGGCGCAAGCCUGAUGCAGCGACGCCGCGUGAGGGAUGAAGGUCUUCGGAUUGUAAACCUCUUUCAGUAGGGACGAAGCGAAAGUGACGGUACCUAAAGAAGAAGCACCGGCUAACUACGUGCCAGCCGCCGCCGUAA
rnacentral:rRNA from 1 species